rnacentral:rRNA from 1 species
GUAGCUUACAAUUGAC